rnacentral:rRNA from 1 species
CGCGUAGACGGUUUUUGUAAGUCAGAUGUGAAAUCCCUGGGCUCAACCUGGGAACUGCAUUUGAUACUGCAUGGCUAGAGUAUGGAAGAGGGAAGUGGAAUUUCCGGUGUAGCGGUGAAAUGCGUAGAUAUCGGAAGGAACACCAGUGGCGAAAGCGACUUCCUGGUCCAAUACUGACGUUCAUGUGCGAAAGCGUGGGGAGCAAACAGGAUUAGAUACCCUGGUAGUCCACGCCAUAAACGAUGACAACUAGAUGUUGGGAGGGUCUGCCUCUCGGUGUCGCAGCUAACGCGUUAAGUUGUCCGCCUGGGGAGUACGGCCGCAAGGUUAA